CGCCGGAGGAGCUCUCGGAUUCUUCUUAUCGUGGCCUCCGUCGAUCUCUCCUCGUCUUCCAAAGCCCCCUCCGAUCAAGUCCUAUAAUUCUGCAAGAAUUAAGUAACCCUACGCUUUCGGCUCGAACCUCGGCAAGAAGCUUGCGGGGACAGCAACCCUACAUUUCCGUUCUUCUCCGUUAUCCGGUCAUUCGCACCACAGUGGUUUCCUUCCCCGGUCGCGAUCAUCAAAGGGUCCUCCGAACCGAUUCCUGUGACUGCGAAGGCCUGUCCUCCCGCAUGCAGCCGUGAGCCCUCCAGAACCUGUAUCCUCUGCAGUGCACUGUGUGUAUUUCUCUUAUCUGCGGCACGGACAUCAGAAAGAAGGGCUCCUAGCCUGCUCUUUGUUUGCCAAUCAGGGGCAGGGCAAGAGGUAGGGAAGAGCUGCGUUGUUGUGUCAAUUGGUGGGAAGCGGAUUAUGUUCGACUGUGGCAUGCAUAUGGAAUACCUAGACCACCGUCGCUUCCCUGAUUUCUCUCUCAUCUCUGAGACUGGUGAUUUCAAUUCUGCUCCCACCUGUGUCGUCAUAGCACACUUGCCUUGGCCCCAUUGAUGUUAGAAGAUUACAGAAAAGUUAUUGUAGAUCGAAGAGGAAAGGAAGAGUUGUUUACAUAUGAUCAUAUUAUGGAGUGCAUGAACAAAGUUACACCCUUGGACAUAAAACAAACUAUUCAAGUUGAUGAGGAUCUUGAGAUUCGUGCUUAUUAUGCUGGACAUGUCAAUGCAAGGAGUUGCAUAAUAUGAAGCAUGGUGAGGAUGAGCAGAAGGCGGAAGAGAUGCAGUCACGAUGAAGCAUGUUGAGGGUCAUCUACAAGGAAGGAGACGUAUUUGUGGUGGUGGGUGCAUGUAGCACUGUGUAGGUGGGGCGGCGAAUUGGUGUUCUCCUGUACAAAUGGUGUUGUUAGGGAAGAGGUGAGGAGCAGAUAAUGACAUAAUGAGGAUGGUGGCAAGUAGUGAUUAAAAUACCAUUAUGUGUCGUUCGGCAUGAACAAUUUUUAUUGUUUUGACAUGGGAGCGAAACCGGUAUCAUACGCUCGACAAUUUUGUGUGCGUCAUCAUGUGCGUCGCACUCGCACGAUAGAAGGUGGGUUGGAGGCGUUUGAAGGCGUCGUAGGACACAUUCGGCGCCACCAGCACCGAUCCCGUGACGCGCGAUGCUACUGUGCCUAAGAAAAUUAAAACUUAAGUAGCAAAUGAAGGUGAAUUAAUGAUGCCGAUUGAAAGGGAUAUGUACAUGCUUUCUCAACCCACUUGCAAGGUUGAUGGAAGAGCUUGCUGCAUAUGGAAACACCAAUGUCCUUGGAGCUGCAAUGAAUUAUGCAAGAGUUGGAGAAAGCACUAUUUUGUACAAGGGGAUUACAAUAUGACACCAGAUCGACAUCUUGGAGCUGCUCAAAUCGAUCAUUUACAGUUAGAUCUUGCUAUAACUGAGAAUGCAGCAUAUAUGUUUUGCGAUUUUUAGUAAUUUAUUUGUUUUUGGAAGUAGGACAAAUAGACUCAAAUUUUAUCAUUGAACUAUCCAAACUGGAGCAAGCUUGAACUUUGGAGAAGCACAUAUGUACGGUAUUGAGAGCAAAGAAAUACAUUCAAGAGCUUGGCAGUGAUCCACCUAUGCAACAACUAUUCGCGACUCAGAAUAUGCUCGAGAAAGAGAGUUCUUAAAGGCGGUAUGCAGUAUUUGUUAUUGUGCAUAUAAGAGAGAUGAUAGAAAAAUAUUCCAAAUUUCUUAGUUAUCUAAUCAUUUCUUUUAUUUCUAUUAUAAGUUGUACCAUAAAGGAUAGUUCGGCGCACGAAAUUCUCAUCAAUUCGGAGUCUCGGGGAAUGGUCUAUUGUGCGUAGUCUUAUUUUGUCUUGUAAAAGGCUGUUGACUCGAAUUCUAGGUCAUAUGGUAAUAAUUUUACUAUGCACCAAGACUCUUUUUCAUUAUAAGUUGUACCAUGAAGUUGCCAAUUAAACUAUUAUAUGAAUGAUGAAUUGUCAUAGCUGGAGGUGUAAUUCCAUUUAACAGGACAUACGCCACUUUAUGACAUUACAUUAAUUUGUAACCAAACUGUAACAACAAUAGAUAACUCAAGGUAAACAACAUCUAUUCAACAGAAAUAUGCAUUCAUCCCUUUGUCAUAAAAAGUACAAUAAGAAUAUAUAUUAACAAUAAUACAAACGAACAUAACAAAAAGUAAAACUUGGGAAACAAAAUAUGGUAUUUAGCACGGUAAUCUCCAAGCAACUCUAUACAGGGGGUUGAAACCAAAUAAGGCUUCAAAACUAACCCUCGCCUACAAAAUUAGAGGCCAAGGUAAACAAGGAAAAAUAUAAAUUGCUAAGUAGAUAAAAAGGAAAGAAGAAAUAUCUACAUGAAUUUUAAUCUUGAUUAAUCAAGUUCAAAGGAUAAGUCAUUCCAACACUAGAGUUCUUAGUGGGUUUUUAUUCCAACACAAGAAGGCGAUUUACAAAUUCUUCUUCUUCUUCUUUUUUUUUUUUUUUGAUAACGUUGGAUCAAUUGAUACAUAUUUGGGGACUGGCUUCACAUUCCACUAGGAAAAUCCUUAACAAUGGAGCAUUAUCAAAGGACUACAUUAUAUGAGAAUCUCCUUGUACUAGAUAUUGGUAUCAUUUUCACCCAUGGUGCCAUUUCUUCUCGUGAAAAUAUCUUGUGUUUCAGGAACUUUGCAUUUUAUUGGAUGAUUACUGGGAACGAAUGAAGUUAAAGGUCCCCAUCUACUUCUCUGCUGGUACGUCCUUGUGAGUUUUUAUCUUUCCUUUGACUUU